AGGAGAUGAGUGUUGAGGAUAAAAUUCCCCAUAAUGUUAAGAACCUAUUUAUUGAUUUGGCUGAGAGUAUUGCGGGUAGUUUUAAUGUAACUAAUUGCUUUGUAUGUGGAGGUACUAAUAUGGGAGACCAGUGGCCAUGGGAGGCAAAGGAAGUAUGGUACCCUGGUUCUGAGACAGAUGAACAACAAAUACUUUCUCAGUCUGAUCAUCAAGUAAGUACUAGAGGUAAAUCAG